CCGUAAACACGAAACAAUAACAUCGCGGCAUCCGCGCCGGUGGUCAGAACUCCGUGUACAUCUUAAUUUCUGUAGUGUACAUCUUAAUUUUUGAUUGGAUGGUAUAUAAUUUAUCAUGUUCAGUUUUUUGGGUCAUUGUUGUUUCUUCUUUGCGAGACUCGCUGGGUGUGGAAGGAGUUCAUACACAAGUUUUGCAAAUGCUAUUACGUGAUCUCAAAAGGAUAUUCAAUAUUCAUAUUUUUUUGCAUUAUGUUGUUGCUAGUAAAGAUACAACUGAUUAGUUUUGUAAUGUACAAUUGAAAUAAUAGAAGCACAAUUCCCAAUAGUUGUCACUUUAUCUCAUGGUUGGUCACAUAAUGGAGCAAUGACUAAAAUAUUAUUAAGUGAAGCAACCUAGGCUGUGAUAGCCAGCAUGUGUAUUCAGGUGUGAUGGCUUGAAAAAUGGUUAAAGGCAUGCUGAAAAUUAAACAAAGAAAGUUCAUUCUGAAGUGCUACUGGAAGACUGAGAAUUUAAGUGGAAUGCAAAGUCUCAACAAAAUGCACCAACUUGACUCACAAUUACUCAUUUGUGAGAUAAAUUUGAGGAAGCAGGAACUGUCCAGAGUGCCAACAAGAACUAUUCUGGAAGACUAUGAUCAUCCACAGUUCCACAAGAGAAAGAGAAGUCAUUGAAAGGUUUCAAUAAUCUCCUAGAAAGUCUGUGCGGCAAGGGGAAUUCCAAAGACAAGUGUCCAUCGAUUUGGAAGCAUAUCCAAUGGAAAAGUUUUAUUCCUAGAUUACUCCAGGCUCUGAAUGAGAAUGAUCAUGACUGGAAAAUUGAAUUUUGUGAGUGGUAUCAAGCAAGAUGCCCAGGGGACAAAAAAUUCCCAUACAAGGAUUUUUGGAGUGAUGAUGCCACUUUUAACUUAAAUUAUUCAGUUAAUCGUCACAAUUAUUCCUACUGGCCAGCUGUGAAUCCUCAUGUGACAGUGGAACACCAUGUGAAACUUAGCAGUGGAACUCCUUGUGAAUCUACCAGGAGUUACAGUGUGGUGUGGUUUAUCAGUAUGAGAUGUUUCAGAAUGGCAAACGGUAUUUCCAGUUCAAUUUGAGCACCUCCCCACUACCUUGGUGAACACUUACGGACAGAUCAACAGGAGAAAGAGGCAGUACCGGGUACCCUCCACGCUCACCAGAUUUGACUUCUAUGGAUUUAUUUUUUCAGUGAGGCGGCAUGUGAAGCACAAUGCUUAUAGCACGAGACAAGUUACAAUCAGCGAGUUGAAAGUAGCCAAGUAAACUAAUGUGCCAAAAUACCAUGCAACAAUUAGCAGUGUGUUGUAUUUCAUCAAUCUGCAUUAUCAGCUGUUCAGUUUGAACACUGCUGAUAAAUAACUAGUUUCUACAUUUUCUCACAUUAUUCUUAGUUUAGAAAUUUUUUCUGUUCCUUAAUAAAUAUUGGUGUUACAGUCAUAAGAAGAGUGAAAACAUUUUUUUUCCUGUCAUGUUUAUAACCAACAUUUCACUUCUGCACAAGGAUACUUCCAGCAAAGAUGUCUUAACACUUUGCUAGAUGUUAAUACCUUCUCUUUUUCAAUGAAGCUUUUCUUGAUGUUGCAAGUCUGCAUUUUACACUCUCUUUAUUUCUGCCAUUGUCAGUUGGUUGCUGACCAAACAGCAACGUUCACCAACUGCCUUAAGUAUAUCAUUUUCAAAUCUAAUUCCCACUGUAUCAUCUAACUUGACGACACUCCUUUUCCCUGUUUCACUGUUAUAAUAUGACAAUCAGUAAUCUCUUUUGUCUUUGACAGAAUUACAGUGUCAUCGGCUAACCUUAUUUUUAGUGAACUUUUAAUUCAAUUUUCAGAUUUUUCAUUGGUUUGCUCUACUGCUUGCACAGUGUGCAGAUUGAGAAAUCUGAGGAUAAGCUACAACCCUGUCUCACUCCCUUCUCAACUAUUGCCUUCCUUUCAUGUCCUACAACUCAUAACUGCAGUCUGGUUCAUGUAGAAGUUGUGGAUAAUCUAGUGUAAACGUACUAAGUACUGUGUAGGAAAGGGAGGGUAUAGCAUACGUACUUCCAAUUUCUAAGUUUCUUAAAACUUAGUUGAGGCUAAUUCCUUUAUAUUUUGAGAUAGAAAGGUUAAAAACUAACAAGAGGACGUCAUGGAAUGUUCCUCUCCAGUUCAUUUCAAACUCACAGGAAGGUUGGUGCUGGGCAUCAGUUACAAAAAUCAGUACAGCAUCAUUCUCAAAAAAUGAAUAUUAGAAGAUUUCUGAGUGUCAUGAAGUACAAACAUUUUCACAAAAUUAAAAUCACUGAAGGUGUAGUUUAUAAAUCUUAUAUUUUUUCCUGGUAGUAUCACCAUCCUGUUUUUCUUAC
rnacentral:lncRNA from 1 species